rnacentral:rRNA from 1 species
UAGUAANUUUUAUACCGUGGCNGGGGCUCAUUANANCAUUUAUAAUUUACUUGAUUAUAUUAAAUUUUGCUUGGAUAAGCGUAUUAUUUCGAGAGCUAACGCGUGAAAAAACACCUUCGUUUUGGGAGUAUUCGUAUUUAUUAAAUACAAAGCCCUUCGGGGCUCUUGANGAUUCAUAAUAACUUAACAAAGCGAGAGAUUCAUCUUUUGCUGAUACGAACAAGUUUCUGCCCUAUCAACUUUCGAUGGUAGUAUAGGGGACUACCAUGGUUACAACGGGUANCGGGGAAUAAAANGGGGAAUAAAGGGGGCCNGGGAAACGGGGUUAUAAUAGCNGCUGCGCCGCUUNCGGUAANUCNUUUUACGCGUGUUUUUCAACUCGUAAUAGUAACNUUAGCCUUAACGAACCGAUACAAGCACCUUCCAAANGUCNUCCUCCCUACNUCNGGUUUNCUCAUUUCGCUGCACUCUNUUUCCCUGNCCCCGCCNAAAA